rnacentral:rRNA from 1 species
UACGGGGGAGCAAGCGUUGUUCGGAUUUACUGGGCGUAAAGGGCGCGUAGGCGGCCACUGCAAGUCGGUUGUGAAAUCUCCGGGCUUAACCCGGAAAGGUCAGCCGAUACUGCAGGGCUAGAGUGCAGAAGGGGCAACUGGAAUUCUCGGUGUAGCGGUGAAAUGCGUAGAUAUCGAGAGGAACACCUGCGGCGAAGGCGGGUUGCUGGGCUGACACUGACGCUGACAGCGCGAAAGCUAGGGGAGCGAACGGGG